rnacentral:rRNA from 1 species
GACGAACGCUGGCGGCGUGCUUAACACAUGCAAGUCGAACGGAAAGGCCCUGCUUUUGUGGGGUGCUCGAGUGGCGAACGGGUGAGUAACACGUGAGUAACCUGCCCUUGACUUUGGGAUAACUUCAGGAAACUGGGGCUAAUACCGGAUAGGAGCUCCUGCUGCAUGGUGGGGGUUGGAAAGUUUCGGCGGUUGGGGAUGGACUCGCGGCUUAUCAGCUUGUUGGUGGGGUAGUGGCUUACCAAGGCUUUGACGGGUAGCCGGCCUGAGAGGGUGACCGGCCACAUCGGGACUGAGAUACGGCUCAGACUCCUACGGGAGGCAGCAGUGGGGAAUAUUGCACAAUGGGCGGAAGCCUGAUGCAGCAACGCCGCGUGCGGGAUGACGGCCUUCGGGUUGUAAACCGCUUUCGCCUGUGACGAAGCGUGAGUGACGGUAAUGGGUAAAGAAGCACCGGCUAACUACGUG